UAUAAGCUUUUGUGUGCAUGCACACUUCUUCAGAUGUAAAGAUUGGUAUCUGAAGAAGUGUGCAUGCACACAAAAGCUUAUA